rnacentral:lncRNA from 1 species
UGGGAGGCAGAUGAUGAUCGACUCAGCACCAUGUAUCUGUGCUAGACCAAGGUGUAGAGAAGAGGUUGACCAGGCAUGGGGGAGGGAAGGAUUACUUUUCCUAAGCUCUGAGAGCUUGUUCUGUGCAGGAAUGCAGUCCCAGAAUGGAGCCCUGCGAGGAGAACUCUGAGCACUAGGGAGAAAACGCCAAGAAAACAAGAGUCUUGUGACGUCAGCUUCUUCAAAACCUCUGUUUUGGAAAGUGUUGGUGUGCCCCUCCCAGGUGUAGCGAGUAGGAAUGAAUGUACUUCAGCUGUUGAAACU